ACGCUGGCGGCAGGCCUAACACAUGCAAGUCGAGCGGAAACGACUUAUCUGAACCUUCGGGGAACGUUAAGGGCGUCGAGCGGCGGACGGGUGAGUAAUGCCUAGGAAAUUGCCUUGAUGUGGGGGAUAACCAUUGGAAACGAUGGCUAAUACCGCAUAAUGCCUACGGGCCAAAGAGGGGGACCUUCGGGCCUCUCGCGUCAAGAUAUGCCUAGGUGGGAUUAGCUAGUUGGUGAGGUAAUGGCUCACCAAGGCGACGAUCCCUAGCUGGUCUGAGAGGAUGAUCAGCCACACUGGAACUGAGACACGGUCCAGACUCCUACGGGAGGCAGCAGUGGGGAAUAUUGCACAAUGGGCGAAAGCCUGAUGCAGCCAUGCCGCGUGUAUGAAGAAGGCCUUCGGGUUGUAAAGUACUUUCAGUUGUGAGGAAGGGGGUGUCGUUAAUAGCGGCAUCUCUUGACGUUAGCAACAGAAGAAGCACCGGCUAACUCCGUGCCAGCAGCCGCGGUAAUACGGAGGGUGCGAGCGUUAAUCGGAAUUACUGGGCGUAAAGCGCAUGCAGGUGGUUCAUUAAGUCAGAUGUGAAAGCCCGGGGCUCAACCUCGGAACUGCAUUUGAAACUGGUGAACUAGAGUACUGUAGAGGGGGGUAGAAUUUCAGGUGUAGCGGUGAAAUGCGUAGAGAUCUGAAGGAAUACCAGUGGCGAAGGCGGCCCCCUGGACA
rnacentral:rRNA from 1 species